CCCUAGCUGGCUCAGUUGGUAGAGCAUGCGACUCUUAAUCUCAGGCUUGUGAGUUCAAGCCCCACAUUGGGUA
rnacentral:tRNA from 1 species